rnacentral:ncRNA from 2 species
AAUGGUAGCUAGGGGUGCCGCAAGGCUGAGAAAGAUUUUAUAUCUUAACCCUUUGAACCUGACGUGGUUAGUACCACCGUAGGGAAGCACGAGUUAUAAUUA